AUUGAACGCUGGCGGCAGGCCUAACACAUGCAAGUCGAACGAGUGGCGGACGGGUGAGUAAUGUCUGGGAAACUGCCUGAUGGAGGGGGAUAACUACUGGAAACGGUAGCUAAUACCGCAUACCAUCGGAUGUGCCCAGAUGGGAUUAGCUAGUAGGUGGGGUAACGGCUCACCUAGGCGACGAUCCCUAGCUGGUCUGAGAGGAUGACCAGCCACACUGGAACUGAGACACGGUCCAGACUCCUACGGGAGGCAGCAGUGGGGAAUAGUGCACAAGGGGCGCAAGCCUGAUGCAGCCAUGCCGCGUGUAUGAAGAAGGCCUUCGGGUUGUAAAGGACUUUUGUCAGGGAAGCGUUACCCGCAGAAGAAGCACCGGCUAACUCCGUGCCAGCCGCCGCGGUAAUAC
rnacentral:rRNA from 1 species